GACGAACGCUGGCGGCGUGCCUAACACAUGCAAGUCGAACGGAGAUAUUCUUCGGAAUAUCUUCGUGGCGAACGGGUGAGCAACGCGUGGGAUACCUGCCCGUAUAACGAGGACAACUUGCCGAUCGGUGAGCUAGUACUGGAUAACGUAUAGAGGUUGCAGGCUCUUGAUAGCAUAUGAGGCCGCCUUAUAUGCUACAGUAGUAGGAUGGAACCGCGUCUGAUUAGCUGGUUGGUGAGGUAACGGCUCACCAAGGCGACGAUCAGUAGCCGGCCUGAGAGGGUGAACGGCCACACUGGGACUGAGACACAGCCCAGACUCCUACGGGAAGCAGCAGUGGGGAAUCUUCCGCAAUGGACGAAAGUCUGACGGAGCAACGCCGCGUGAGUGACGAAGGUUUUCGGAUUGUAAACUCUGUCUUUUGGGACGAACGGCAUAUGUGUGAAUAAUGCGUAUGAGUGACGGUACCAAAGGAGGAAGCCCCGGCUAACUACGUGCCAGCCGCCGCCGUAAUAC
rnacentral:rRNA from 1 species